rnacentral:rRNA from 1 species
UACGUAGGGUGCGAGCGUUGUCCGGAAUUAUUGGGCGUAAAGGGCGCGUAGGCGGCCUGCUAAGGCGUACGUGAAAUCCCUGGGCUCAACCCAGGAACUGCGUCCGAUACUGGUUGGCUUGAGUCCGGGAGAGGGAUGCGGAAUUCCAGGUGUAGCGGUGAAAUGCGUAGAUAUCUGGAGGAACACCGGUGGCGAAGGCGGCAUCCUGGACCGGCAUUGACGCUGAGGCGCGAAAGCCAGGGGAGCAAACGGG